rnacentral:rRNA from 1 species
AUACGUAGGGGGCAAGCGUUAUCCGGAUUUACUGGGUGUAAAGGGAGCGUAGACGGAAUGGCAAGUCUGAUGUGAAAGGCCGGGGCUCAACCCCGGGACUGCAUUGGAUACUGUCGGGCUUGAGUGCAGGAGAGGUAAGUGGAAUUCCCAGUGUAGCGGUGAAAUGCGUAGAGAUUGGGAGGAACACCAGUGGCAAAGGCGACUUACUGGACUGUAACUGACGCUGAGGCGCGAAAGUGUGGGGAGCAAACAGGAUUAGAUACCCUGGUAGUCCACACUGUAAACGAUGAAUGCUAGGUGUAGGGGGUAUCGACCCCUUCUGUGCCGCAGCAAACGCAAUAAGUAUUCCGCCUGGGGAGUACGGCCGCAAGGUUGAAACUCAAAUGAAUUGACGGGG